rnacentral:rRNA from 1 species
CGAUCAAGCAACUAGUGGGAACUAGAGAACCGUCCUAGAUCUACCGGAAGGCAGGCAGUGGGGAUUUGGACAAUGGCGCAAGCUGAUCCAGCAUGCCGCGUGCAGAUGAAGACUCGGGUGUAAACUGCUUUUGUACGGAACGAAAAAGCUCUCUCUAAUACAGGGGUGAAUGACGGUACGUAAGAAUAAGCACGGGCUAACUACGUGCCAGCAGCCGCGGUAAUACGUAGGGUGCAAGCGUUAAUCGGAAUUACUGGGCGUAAAGCGUGCGCAGGCGGUUAUGUAAGACAGAGGUGAAAUCCCCGGGCUCAACCUGGGAACUGCCUUUGUGACUGCAUAGCUGGAGUGCGGCAGAGGGGGAUGGAAUUCCGCGUGUAGCAGUGAAAUGCGUAGAUAUGCGGAGGAACACCGAUGGCGAAGGCAAUCCCCUGGGCCUGCACUGACGCUCAUGCACGAAAGCGUGGGGAGCAAACAGGAUUAGAUACCCUGGUAGUCCACGCCCUAAACGAUGUCAACUGGUUGUUGGGUCUUCACUGACUCAGUAACGAAGCUAACGCGUGAAGUUGACCGCCUGGGGAGUACGGCCGCAAGGUUAAAACUCAAAGGAAUUGACGGGGACCCGCACAAGCGGUGGAUGAUGUGGUUUAAUUCGAUGCAACGCGAAAAACCUUACCCACCU